GGGGCUGUAGCUCAGCUGGGAGAGCGCGACAUUCGCAUUGUCGAGGCCGACGGUUCGAUCCCGUUCAGCUCCA
rnacentral:tRNA from 2 species